UGGUCAGACUUUCUGUAGGAGUGGGCGUGAUUGGUCAGACUUUCUGUAGGAUUGGACAAAAUUGGUCAAACUUUCUGUAGAAGUGGGCAGGACUUGUCAGACUUUCUGUAGGAGUGGGCGGGAUUGGUCAGACUUUCUGUAGGAGUGGGCGUGAUUGGUCAGACUUUCUGUAGGAUUGGACAAAAUAGGUAAAACUUUCUGUAGAAGUGGGCAGGACUUGUCAGACUUUCUGUAAGAGUGGGCGGGAUUGGUCAGACUUUCCGUAGGAGUGGGCAGGAUUUGUCAGACUUUCUGUAAGAGUGGGCGGG
ensembl:lncRNA